AUAAGCAAGAGUCAGGAAUUUGAUACUGCAAAAAACAGGUUAAGCAAACACCAUAGGCUGACUAAGAGUAAUAGCCACUCUCCAAUGAGUGAAAGUAAAAAAGAUCCUUUCCCUAUAAGGAGGCCUUCAUCUGUUCCUAUCAUCGACUUCGACAUAGACCGAAUCAAAGCUCUGGAUGUUAUCGAUCGAGUGGACACAAUUAGAAGCUUAUGAUUGUAUCAGUAUGACUAGUCAUGACAUUUAGGCAAAGAAAGGGGCCUGUGCUUGUGAAGGAGGAUCCCAUCUGAUGCAAUUUUUCCCUUUGGUUGGGUGGUGGUGUUUUGCUUCUGGUGGGAGAGAUCUUAUUUCUGUUGCUAGGUUUAUGAUGAGUGAUGCAAGUCAUUGGUUUUUUGAAUGUGAGAAUUUUAAGGUGAUAAAUGUUUUGCUCAAGGGGAAUUUAAUUUUUCUAGCAAAUAUCAGGCUAUAGUUUCUGCUUAGUCCUUAUAUGUACAGAAUACUUUAGUGAUUUUAUAAUAAUUUGAAGUUCAUUUCCCCCCCCC
rnacentral:misc_RNA from 1 species